CUGGGCUUGACAUGCAUCUCUAAGCGCGUGAAAGCGCGUGACCCUUCGGGGGAUUUGCACAGGUGCUGCAUGGCCGUCGUCAGCUCGUGUCGUGAGAUGUUGGGUUAAGUCCCGCAACGAGCGCAACCCUUGUGAACUGUUGCCAGCGCGUCAUGGCGGGAACUCGGUUCAGACUGCCCAGAUCAACUGGGAGGAAGGUGGGGACGACGUCAGGUCAGUAUGGCCCUUACGCCCAGGGCUGCACACGUACUACAAUGCCCGGCACAAUGAGAACCGAGACCGCAAGGUGGAGGAAAUCUGCAAAACCGGGCCCAGUUCGGAUUGGAGGCUGCAACCCGCCUCCAUGAAGUCGGAAUCGCUAGUAAUGGCGCAUCAGCUACGGCGCCGUGAAUACGUUCCC
rnacentral:rRNA from 1 species